CACGUAGUUAGCCGUGGCUUAUUCAAGGGGUACCGUCAUUUGUUCGUCCCCCUUAAAAGAAGUUUACAACCCGAAAGCCUUCUUCCUUCACGCGGCGUUGCUGGGUCAGGCUUGCGCCCAUUGCCCAAUAUUCCCCACUGCUGCCUCCCGUAGGAGUCUGGGCCGUGUCUCAGUCCCAAUGUGGCCGGCCAACCUCUCAGUCCGGCUACUGAUCGUCGCCUUGGUGGGCCGUUGCCCCGCCAACUAGCUAAUCAGACGCGAGCUCAUCUCAGAGCGAUAAAUCUUUGGCGUCCAGAGAGAUGCCUCCCAGACGCGUCAUGCGGUAUUAGCGGCUGUUUCCAACCGUUAUUCCCCACUCCAAGGCAGAUUGCUCACGCGUUACUCACCCGUCCGCCACUUUCCCCAACUUCAUUUGGACGAAUCCUCAAUCCGUUGGUUCUCGUUCGACUUGCAUGUGUUAAGCACGCCGCCAGCGUUCAUCCUGAGCCAGGAUCAAACUCU
rnacentral:rRNA from 1 species